AUUGAACGCUGGCGGCAGGCCUAACACAUGCAAGUCGGACGGUAGCACAGGGGAGCUUGCUCCUCGGGUGACGAGUGGCGGACGGGUGAGUAAUGUCUGGGGAUCUGCCCGAUAGAGGGGGAUAACCACUGGAAACGGUGGCUAAUACCGCAUAACGUCGCAAGACCAAAGAGGGGGACCUUCGGGCCUCUCACUAUCGGAUGAACCCAGAUGGGAUUAGCUAGUAGGCGGGGUAACGGCCCACCUAGGCGACGAUCCCUAGCUGGUCUGAGAGGAUGACAGCCACACUGGAACUGAGACACGGUCCAGACUCCUACGGGAGGCAGCAGUGGGGAAUAUUGCACAAUGGGCGCAAGCCUGAUGCAGCCAUGCCGCGUGUAUGAAGAAGGCCUUCGGGUUGUAAAGUACUUUCAGCGGGGAGGAAGGCGAUGUGGUUAAUAACCGCGUCGAUUGACGUUACCCGCAGAAGAAGCACCGGCUAACUCCGUGCCAGCCGCCGCGGUAAGAC
rnacentral:rRNA from 1 species